rnacentral:tRNA from 1 species
GGAGAGAUGGCUCAGUGGUUAAGAGCACUGACUGCUUUUCCGAAGGUCCUGAGUUCAAAUCCCAGCAACCACG